rnacentral:rRNA from 1 species
UACGUAGGGUGCAAGCGUUGUCCGGAAUUAUUGGGCGUAAAGAGCUCGUAGGCGGUUUGUCGCGUCUGCUGUGAAAUCCCAGGGCUUAACCCUGGGCCUGCAGUGGGUACGGGCAAACUAGAGUGCGGUAGGGGGAGAUCGGAAUUCCUGGUGUAGCGGUGAAAUGCGCAGAUAUCAGGAGGAACACCGGUGGCGAAGGUGGAUCUCUGGGCCGUAACUGACGCUGAGGAGCGAAAGCAUGGGUAGCGAACAGG